UAUUUUACGUGUUGAAAUUGUGUUCGAGGUGGCUAAAUCUUGCUUCCACGUACAACAAUUGCAUGCAAAUUCUUCCACACGUGGCAUGCAUUGAUUUCGAGGUACGCAUGAAUUUUUGUGCGAAACUUUAUUCGCAAAUGAAUCAACAAAGGGAACCUGAUUUCCAGCAUGAACAACAAAUGCAAGUGAUAAGACGAUGCCUCUAGCCGACGGAAUUGGGAAGACAAAAUGGAUAAGCAGUAAGCCAAAGAGGGCUUGUGCUCAGUUUCAAUACCGCUACCCACGAACUAUUAAAUUGAUGCCUUUUGGCUUGCUUUUUUUGAGCGCUUUAUUUCGUGUACUACUGAUAAUUCGGCCUGAGUUAAUAACGCGGAUUAUGCUGCUUUGCCAGAUGAAUUCCUGUGUAAUGGAAAAUGAUUGGAUCGAAAUGAUAACUGUGUUUUAAACAGUUCAAUAAUAGAAAUGUAGUAUUAUGUUAA